CCUACGGGAGGCAGCAGUAAGGAAUAUUGGUCAAUGGAGGCAACUCUGAACCAGCCAUGCCGCGUGCAGGAUGAAGGCCCUAUGGGUCGUAAACUGCUUUUGUACCAGAGAAAACCCGAGUACGUGUACUCGGUUGAUAGUAUGGUAAGAAUAAGCAUCGGCUAACUUCGUGCCAGCAGCCGCGGUAAGACGAAGGAUGCAAGCGUUAUCCGGAUUCAUUGGGUUUAAAGGGUGCGUAGGCGGACUGAUAAGUCAGUGGUGAAAUCUCUCGGCUUAACCGAGAAACUGCCAUUGAUACUGUCAGUCUAGAGUACAGAUGAUGUGGGCGGAAUAUGACAUGUAGCGGUGAAAUGCUUAGAUAUGUCAUAGAACACCGAUUGCGAAGGCAGCUCACAAAACUGUAACUGACGCUGAGCACGAAGUAGNGGGAGUACAACAGAUAGUAUACCUACGUAGUCCGCACCGUAACGAUAGUAUUACUACGUUGUUGUCG
rnacentral:rRNA from 1 species